CUAAUCUUAUCAUGAGUAAUGAACAAUGAGAGAAAUUGGUUAAUGGUCUUCUAUUGGAUUCAUUAAGGGAAAUAGUUUCAUCUCUAUCUGAUAGUUUAGCCAUUGUCCUACUUGAAAUUUGAAAUAAGCUGAGUGAAAUCUCCUUCAGCACAGUACAGUGAUUGUAUGGCUGUAUAUAUCACUGUUUUAGAUAACUAAAUAAAUAUAAAACUCCAAGGAACCCUGAAGCAGAAUUUCAGUAGCUGGGGCCUGAGAAUCAUUGAUGAUAUCAUGAUGCAUUGGUGAUUGUGAUGCAUAGGUUCUGAACGCACUAAUAUCCAUCAACAGCAUGUGCCCUGCCCCUGACAACUUGCAAUAGUUAAACGUUUUCAAGAACAAUGCUGCGCUGCUCAUUGAAAAGAUAUCCACAGGUACUAAACUUCAGAAGACAAAUAGUUGAUAAUGACUUGGAAAACUCUGAAGCCUGAAGUAACCUACCACCUCACUCACAGAUAAAAUAUGGUGACCUCUUCCACAUGUGUUCUCACCAUUGUGAUGCCAUCCACCAUAAGACAUUCACUAGAGCUGAGCAGAUUCCUGCACCAUGAAAUGUAAGCUAAAUAAACCUCUUUUCUUUACAAAUUACUCA
rnacentral:lncRNA from 1 species